CCGCAGGCCGUUCAGCGAGGGCGAGUCUGAGGUGGCUCUGUCUUUUCCUGUGGUGUCUGCUAGAUACACGUGAGGUGGUUUGAGACCCUGCUGUCUCCUCCGUGCAGCACGGUUAUAGAAACCCCAGACAGCG